AUGCCUCAAGCUCCUACCCACGGACGCUGCCACUGCCAGCACGGCCUGCGAACACACCAAGGACCGGACACGUGCGGUGUUCACCUCUUUGCAACCUCAGCCAUCAGCCCAGGCCAGACAGCAGGGAGCGCGGUGGCCCCAGCGUGGCCGGCAGGGCCCGGGGGAGGCAGCAGCGAAGCACACAGAGCGAGGUCGAGGUGCGUACUAGCACUGUGUGCUCAGGCUCUGCUCUACUCAGCGCCCCCCGAUUUGCCCCUGUUCUCCCGGGGGGCACUCCAUUGUCACGUCCACUUACGUGUUCGCCAGGUUGGGGCUUCCGGGAGCCCCACGGGGGAGGCGGGGGAGGGGAACCAGCGGCGGGAAAAGGAUCCCUUCCACAGCCUGCAAACAGCAAACCCCCAGACUCAAGGGAUCUAUUGAAAUAAAACGAAGAAAGAAAAACUCUUCUUUUGAGAU
rnacentral:lncRNA from 1 species